UAGGGAAUCUUCGGCAAUGGGGGGAACCCUGACCGAGCAACGCCGCGUGAGUGAAGAAGGUUUUCGGAUCGUAAAGCUCUGUUGUUAAGGAAGAACGAGUGUGAGAAUGGAAAGUUCAUACUGUGACGGUACUUAACCAGAAAGGGACGGCUAACUACGUGCCAGCAGCCGCGGUAAUACGUAGGUCCCGAGCGUUGUCCGGAUUUAUUGGGCGUAAAGCGAGCGCAGGCGGUUAGAUAAGUCUGAAGUUAAAGGCAGUGGCUCAACCAUUGUAGGCUUUGGAAACUGUUUAACUUGAGUGCAGAAGGGGAGAGUGGAAUUCCAUGUGUAGCGGUGAAAUGCGUAGAUAUAUGGAGGAACACCGGUGGCGAAAGCGACUCUCUGGUCUGUAACUGACGCUGAGGCUCGAAAGCGUGGGUAGCAAACAGG
rnacentral:rRNA from 1 species